UAUUCGUACUGAGUUUGAUUUUGUCCGUCUGACUGUCUGUCUGUGUUUUGGCCGCUGUCAGUUGGAUGUUUAAGCCACAAACAAAGUCGCAAAAUUUAGUCAUUGUUCUGACGUUGUUCAUUGCACGUGAGCGUAUCGUAAAGACUUGACGGUCGUUGUUUCAAAGUAAAACUAAUUUGGAUCUAAAGCAUUUUUUCGUAAUUUGCUGUUUUGUGUUUAUAUAGGCAUUUAAUUUCGCUUUAAUUAGAAAAAAGAAAGAAAGAAAAAAUAAUAAAAAGUUCUAAACAUGACCAUUUACGCCAUAAUUGUUCAAAUUAUUUUGGUCUGUAAUUAAAAGAAGCAGCUUGUUCAUUGUGUUCAGCUACUAAACACAAAAAAGGAAAGAAAUUCCACUUAAGUUAUAGAAUAUAUAUUUGUUUUAAGCAACACUUAAUUUCGUCAACCACAAAAAUGUCAUCGAAAAUGUAUUCAACAAGGACGGCCAAAGGAGUUCGAUUAUCACAAAAGGAUCCCGAAGAUGAUUCUGAAUACAAGAUACCUUCAAUAAUUGGAUUUUUGAAUCUGGAUUGAUUGGAGCACCAAAUCGAUGUUAUUCACUAUUUAUGUAUUAUCAUUAAAAUAAGUUAAGUUUAGCUAUAUACACAUAUAAGAAAUAAUGUAUUUACCUGUUUCGUUGUGACCAGGAAUAACUCAUGUACCUCAAAUUUGUUAAGUUCACACUUAUGACGAUUGAAAAUGUUCAAUUUAACGUUUCUCAUUAAAUGUGUACUUUGCUCAUUGUGACUGUAACGAAUAACAACAACAAAACGUAACAAUAAAAUCGCAUUAUCAUUAAGUCUGUGAGAAAAUAAAAUUGUAUUUUAACAAUGAAAAAUAAAAUUUAGUCAAAACAAAGA
rnacentral:sRNA from 1 species